CCUACGGGAGGCAGCAGUGAGGAAUAUUGGUCAAUGGACGAGAGUCUGAACCAGCCAAGUAGCGUGAAGGAUGACUGCCCUAUGGGUUGUAAACUUCUUUUAUAUGGGAAUAAAAUGUUCCACGUGUGGGAUUUUGUAUGUACCAUAUGAAUAAGGAUCGGCUAACUCCGUGCCAGCAGCCGCGGUAAUACGGAGGAUCCGAGCGUUACCCGGAUUUAUUGGGUUUAAAGGGAGCGUAGGUGGAUUGUUAAGUCAGUUGUGAAAGUUUGCGGCUCAACCGUAAAAUUGCAGUUGAAACUGGCAGUCUUGAGUACAGUAGAGGUGGGCGGAAUUCGUGGUGUAGCGGUGAAAUGCUUAGAUAUCACGAAGAACUCCGAUUGCGAAGGCAGUUCACUGGACUGCAACUGACACUGAGGCUCGAAAGUGUGGGUAUCAAACAGGAUUAGAUACCCCAGUAGUC
rnacentral:rRNA from 1 species